UGGGGAAUAGUCAGUGGUAGAGUGUGUGCUUAGCAUGCACAAGGUCCUGGGUUCAAUCCCCAGUACCUCUG
rfam:Camelus ferus unplaced genomic scaffold scaffold1050, whole genome shotgun sequence.